UGGUAUGAAUGGUCGGACAAAAGAAGAACUGUCUUGGUAGUAUAGUUUGAAAUUUACAUUUAAGUGAAAAGGCUUAAAUAGAUCAAGGGGACGAUAAGACCCUAUAAAGCUUUAUAAAUAAGUUAAAUUUAAUUAAGUUAAGCAAUAAAAAUUAAGUUUGAUUGUUUUAUUUUGUUGGGGUGAUGUGAGUAUAAUUAUAAUUAACUGCUUAAAAGGAAUUCUGUAAUAAAAGAGUUAUAAUUAUAUGAUCCUUUAUAAAGAUUAAAAGACUAAGUUACUUUAGGGGUAACAGCGUUAUUUCUUUAGAGAGUUCAUAUCGAAAAAGAAGAUUGCGACCUCGAUGUUGAAUUAAAAUAUCUGUAUAAUGUAGCCGUUAUAAAAGAGGGUC
rnacentral:rRNA from 1 species